GAAAUGUUUGGGCAGGUGAAACUAAAAACCCCAGGAUGUUAGGAGUUUCAAGGCAGAUGAGCAUUGAUGAAGUGAAUAUGCCCACAUAUGUCUCCUUCAGGAUGACAUACAAACAACAUUGACAAGACAUAAGAAUUACUUAUAUACCUACUUCCCCCAGACUGUGAAGUCUGGGACCAGGAUUGAUGUAUCUUUUUGUCUCUCAUAACAUCUAACAAAGUG